UAUUAUCCGUUUAAGGGAAAGAGUAGAUAUUUAUUCCAUCUAAGAGAGCCGGAAAUGGUGCAAACCGGUAUAGAAUACAUAUUGAAGGAAGCUCCCAUAGGAUACUUAAAAAGCGGAUGCUCUGCCGUUAAAAGGAGCUUUAAGUGGGCUAGUUUGGCCAAUUUAGGUGGUACCGCGGAAGAUAACCUUUCGUCCUAUGC
rnacentral:ncRNA from 1 species